GACAAGGUUCCAGGCCCUACGGGGUGCAGCAGGCGCGAAACCUCCGCAAUGUGAGAAAUCGCGACGGGGGGAUCCCAAGUGCCAUUCUUAACGGGAUGGCUUUUCAUUAGUGUAAAGAGCUUUUGGAAUAAGAGCUGGGCAAGACCGGUGCCAGCCGCCGCGGUAACACCGGCAGCUCUAGUGGUAACAAUUUUUAUUGGGCCUAAAGCGUCCGUAGCCGGUUUAAUAAGUCUCUGGUGAAAUCCUGUAGCUUAACUGUGGGAAUUGCUGGAGAUACUAUUAGACUUGAGAUCGGGAGAGGUUAGAGGUACUCCCAGGGUAGAGGUGAAAUUCUGUAAUCCUGGGAGGACCGCCUGUUGCGAAGGCGUCUAGCUGGAACGAUUCUGACGGUGAGGGACGAAAGUUAGGGGCGCGAACCGGAUUAGAUACCCGGGUAGUCCUAACUGUAAACGAUGCGGACUUGGUGUUGGGGUGGCUUUGAGCUGCUCCAGUGCCGAAGGGAAGCUGUUAAGUCCGCCGCCUGGGAAGUACGGUCGCAAGACUGAAACUUAA
rnacentral:rRNA from 1 species